CUGCCGGCUUCCUGAAGGAAAACUUGGAAGCAAUAGCUCCAUCCAUCUUUCCAUGGAGAAGGGAACCUGAGACAGAAGGCGUGGCCUCUUCUGAUGUUCAGCCUCCUAACUCAGGGGAGGAGACAUUGCGAUCACUGUUUGGGAAACACAUUUAAAACACACAAGACUUCAGAGCCCAUCUUCACCACUUCCUGCCCGUGUGGCCUUGAGCUACACCCUGCUGGCUCUCGAUUUCCUCAUCCAUAAAUAAGUCAUAAUAAUAGUUCCUAUCUCCCAGGGCAGGAGGGCAGGUGAUGACUGAGUGACAUCAUGCCUAUAAAGGAUUACAUGGCCAGCCCUCACAGUGCCAGCCAUUAUGAUGGGAACCAAAGGCAGAGGCCUGGGGCCAGGCCCUGGAGAGCUUCCAGUGUUGGGGGGCGAGGGGAAUAAACUGGCUGGGGCAGCAGUUGUUCUGGCUGCCGCAUCCAGAGCGGGCCUGCUAGGGUGUGGGUGUGACUUUUCAUUCAUUCAUUCAUAGGACUGCGGAUUGAACACAGAACCUUCCCACUGACCUACAUCCCCAACCCUUUUUUAUUUUGAGACUGAGCCUCAUUAAAUUGCCCAGGCUGAGCUGCAAUUUGAAAUCCUCCUGCUUCAGCCUCUGAGAGUGCAGGGAUUACAGGCAUGCACUACCACACCCAGCUGUGACUGUGACUUAUGGGAGGGAGUGUGAAGGUCUGACCUGGGGGUGCCACUGUCUGACAUCAAGGAAGGACCCACUUCUAGAUGUUUUGAAGCCAUAGCUAGCUAUGUGGAUACAAAGCCCAAGGGAGCCAAAGGGUUCAAAAUAAAGUUAUAUGACCAGACCUACGGCGAUGCCAUUAGCAGCAAUGGAUUAUGUGGAGAUAAAGACAUCAAAGACAAGGGAUGAUCCCUGGGAGGUGAGUUCAGAAGGGAUUUCGGUGGAGGGAGUGUCCCUGGAAUCUUGGUAUGCGGCCACUUCUGGUCCUUAAGUAACCUCUGAAUGCACUGAAACUUUAUCUCUUCGCAUCGCUUGAAAGACUCUGACCUCAAUUAAGUGUAAAUUCGAGGAUAAAUGGGCACUAUCUAGGCUGCAGGUGUAGCUCCGUGGCAGUGUGUGUGCACAAGGCCCUGGAUGCCAUCCCCCGUGCCCCAACAUAAACAAAUAGAGGGAUCAGCAUCAUUGGAGGUGAGCGCUUCCUGAGGUCACUGACACUGCACUGAUCGCUUAGACAGGGUCCCUGUGGGUACCCCAACUGCAAUCCCCCUCCUCUCAAAUCCACCAGACAAGGCUGGGGAGGGAACAAACAGCUCCCGAGAGCUUCUGCAUACAUAAUUCUCAUUUUAUCUUCAUGCCUGCUCUAUGGGAAAGUCACUGUCCCCCAAAUGGGACAAAGUGACAAAGUCAAAGCAGAUCUAAGAUGGAGCCCAAGUCGGCUGCCUCCAAAAGCCACACUUCCCUCAGGACACCUCGCUGGCCCUGGAGAUGACAGGAGUGGUAGGACAAGGGCUUGGGACACUGUCUGAAGGACAAGGGUUUCUAUUUGACAGGAAUGUAAUGACUCAAAGCCUCCACCCUGACUCUGUGCAAGGCACCAUAGCAGUCAAGGAAAAGGGCCUCCUUGUGCAUUUUAAGAGGUUGAUAAAAAAGUACUGGGGGUGCAGCUUAGGGGUAGCAUGUGGAGGCCCUGGGUUCCACCCCAGAACCAGGGUGGGGAAAAGGCUAAGAAAAAGCAUGGGAAAUCCCUGGAACCUAGACAGACAGGCACAGGAGGAUGUGUUCUUGGCUCUGCCUUCUCACCACAUGACCCUGAUUAAAUUAUUUCCCCUUUCAGCCUCUUGGCCUUCAAACGAAUAGUCCAAUAGCAAGUUUGCAACUUCACAAUCUGACAAUGAGCUGGGCGUGUGGCACAGGCCUAUAAUCCCAGAAUUCUGGGAGCCCAACACAGGAGGAUGGCAAGUUCCAGCCCAAUCCAGGCAAGUCAAUGACUUAGUGAGAUCCUGUCUGGAAAUAUAUAAAAAAGGGCUGGGGAUGUGGCUCAGUACAAAGUCCUUGUCUGCAAGCCCCAGUACCAUCAGAAGAACGAAAAGAAUCUGAUGAUGAUUGAUGUUAUCAAGCCAACUUUGGAAGUAGAACACACAAAAUUUAAAGUGUGAAUAACCACUGAUUUCUUGGAGUCUCUCCUAAAGAUAUUAUGCAUAAGUGCACAGCACAUACACACAGGAUGUUCAUGGCAACACUGUGAGUCAUAAUGACCUCAACGUCUACCAUCACAAGACUGGCAAAGUAUAUUAUGAUACACCUACACCUUGGAAAGGUAGGCAGCCAGGAAAAAGAAUGAGGAAAGUAUGUAAGUGGUAAAGAGGAAUAUCACUUGGAUACACCAUGGAGUGCACCAAGAAAGAUUUGUCAAACAAAUUAUACAUGGGUCUCACUAUGUAGCCAAGGCUGUCCUGGAACUCGUGAGCUUCCUGCUUCAGCCUCCUAGGUGUUGGGAUCACAGGUGCGCACCACCACACCCAGCUUCAUGCUCUUGAUUUUGCAGAUAGAACUGAGAAACCUUUUCCCCCAAAUAAUGGAACUGACCAACAAGGAAAACUCACCAGCAAGGGCCAUACACAAGUAAAAAGAACUCUUUGCUGCUGCUGGUGUAGACUCAGACAAGGUUAAUGGACCAAGAUAAACAUUCUCCUUCGCCUCCUGAGCAUCAAACGGGAAACACAGGCCACACAAAGCCCUAUCUUAAAUUCUGCUGUUGUGAGUGGAAGAUUCUGAGCACACUUCGCUCAGGGUAACGUGGGCUGGGGGUGAGCAGGAUUCAGCCGGGGCUCAUAGGUCUCAGGUCUGCCAGGAAGGCCUCGCCCAGGCGGGAAGUGCCUUCCACCUGAAGUGUUUGCCCCUGAAUGGAGAGAAUCUUCCCUGACCAGGAAGCUUGCUGGGCACACCUAGCUUCUUUUCGAAAAUUCUCAUGGCACUUUCCAGAAACAAAUAGAUCUGGAAUUAGAAAAAUGCCAUCUGAUUAAAAUAUAAAUAAACUUUACCAUGCAAAGUUGCUCAGUAGAAGAGGCUCAGGGUAGAUCUGGGUUCUAAGGCCAGGCUUUCCCCUCCCUCCCCAUGUGAAUCUUUAAGACAAGCUAUCUUCCUGUCUGCCCAUCCUGGGGAUCAAGCCUACAGCCUCACUCACUAACACGGGUUCCACCGGAGCCAUGGCCCAGCCCCAAUCUUCGCCUCUGCAGCCUCAGUCUCCACAUCUGUAAAUGGAAUAAUAACAGACCUCGGGAAGCCUGGCAAGGUAGCACACACCUGUAAGCCCAGCACGCGGGAGGCUGAGGCAGGCAGGAGGAUCACGAGUUCAAGGCCAACCUGGGUAACAUAGUAAGUUCAAAGCCAGCCUGGAUUAUAUAGCAAGGCCCUGUCUUCAAAACCAAAACCCAAACCUAACCCAAACCAAACAGGCCUGGGGUAAUGUGAGGAUUCUAUGUCUACGCAUGUGGACAGCCAGCCUGGAUGAAGCUUGGCUUGCGGUUCUUGCUAAUCAGACCAAAGUGCAGACCCAAAAGUGUCCCGGCGAGCUGCAGAGACCAUUUAGUCAGCGCUUCCCAUGGCCCAGAACAGUGUCGGAGACGAGAGUCAGAGAGGUGAGGCGCUGUCCACGACGUCCACCUCAGAGGCAGUGCUGGGCGCCCCAGCUGGUCACCUCCUCAGGCUGCCUUCAGGUUCUUGGCUUCCUGUUCUACGCUUUGAGUCCCAAGACCAUCAAACUGUGGGCAUCACCUCUGGCUGGCUUCCGUGUUGUUCCCGAG